rnacentral:rRNA from 1 species
GAUGAACGCUGGCGGCGUGCUUAACACAUGCAAGUCGAACGGUGAAGCCCAGCUUGCUGGGUGGAUCAGUGGCGAACGGGUGAGUAACACGUGAGCAAUCUGCCCCUGACUCUGGGAUAAGCGCUGGAAACGGCGUCUAAUACUGGAUACGAACCGUGGAGGCAUCUUCAACGGUUGGAAAGAUUUUUUGGUCAGGGAUGAGCUCGCGGCCUAUCAGCUUGUUGGUGAGGUAAUGGCUCACCAAGGCGUCGACGGGUAGCCGGCCUGAGAGGGUGACCGGCCACACUGGGACUGAGACACGGCCCAGACUCCUACGGGAGGCAGCAGUGGGGAAUAUUGCACAAUGGGCGAAAGCCUGAUGCAGCAACGCCGCGUGAGGGAUGACGGCCUUCGGGUUGUAAACCUCUUUUAGCAGGGAAGAAGCGAAAGUGACGGUACCUGCAGAAAAAGCGCCGGCUAACUACGUGCCAGCAGCCGCGGUAAUACGUAGGGCGCAAGCGUUAUCCGGAAUUAUUGGGCGUAAAGAGCUCGUAGGCGGUUUGUCGCGUCUGCUGUGAAAUCCCGAGGCUCAACUUCGGGUCUGCAGUGGGUACGGGCAGACUAGAGUGCGGUAGGGGAGAUUGGAAUUCCUGGUGUAGCGGUGGAAUGCGCAGAUAUCAGGAGGAACACCGAUGGCGAAGGCAGAUCUCUGGGCCGUAACUGACGCUGAGGAGCGAAAGGGUGGGGAGCAAACAGGCUUAGAUACCCUGGUAGUCCACCCCGUAAACGUUGGGAACUAGUUGUGGGGUCCAUUCCACGGAUUCCGCGACGCAGCUAACGCAUUAAGUUCCCCGCCUGGGGAGUACGGCCGCAAGGCUAAAACUCAAAGGAAUUGACGGGGACCCGCACAAGCGGCGGAGCAUGCGGAUUAAUUCGAUGCAACGCGAAGAACCUUACCAAGGCUUGACAUAUACGAGAAUGCUGCAGAAAUGUAGAACUCUUUGGACACUCGUAAACAGGUGGUGCAUGGUUGUCGUCAGCUCGUGUCGUGAGAUGUUGGGUUAAGUCCCGCAACGAGCGCAACCCUCGUUCUAUGUUGCCAGCACGUAAUGGUGGGAACUCAUGGGAUACUGCCGGGGUCAACUCGGAGGAAGGUGGGGAUGACGUCAAAUCAUCAUGCCCCUUAUGUCUUGGGCUUCACGCAUGCUACAAUGGCCGGUACAAAGGGCUGCAAUACCGUGAGGUGGAGCGAAUCCCAAAAAGCCGGUCCCAGUUCGGAUUGAGGUCUGCAACUCGACCUCAUGAAGUCGGAGUCGCUAGUAAUCGCAGAUCAGCAACGCUGCGGUGAAUACGUUCCCGGGUCUUGUACACACCGCCCGUCAAGUCAUGAAAGUCGGUAACACCUGAAGCCGGUGGCCCAACCCUUGUGGAGGGAGCCGUCGAAGGUGGGAUCGGUAAUUAGGACU